UAAAUAAGUUUUAAAAAAAAAUGACUAACUGGUAUAAAUAGAACAUGUAAGCGGUUAAAAUAAUAAUCUAAUCACAUUGACAUUGAAUAUGAAACUCUUGCUUGUUGGGAUUGUAUGCGUUUGUCUUUAUGGCAUUGUACUGAGUUGUACAACAUGUAAUUUACACAGUGAUGACUGUUCCUCACAUUGUAAAAGUGGAGGAGCUCCCCAUUGUCAUUAUCAUAAUAGUACCGCUAACUGCUGUUUCUGUGAAAUUCCAAUUGAAUGUCAUCCAAGUAAUGCUACGAUUGCUUGUCCCGCAAACUGUAUUUGUGAACCAGAAGGAGAACAUCAUCACUGCAUGUGUCCACAAUAAAGGUGAUGAAUGACAGAACUGGUUACACACAGAUUCAGACCUACACCAAUGUUAUUUUCAAGGAUCGAUUUUAUCAAUUAUAGACAAUUAUUUAUCAUAUCAUUUGUAACUUUUUCGAUAAUCUGUUAAAAGUUUUAAAAUGAAAGUUUUCUGAUUUAUUUUA